CACGUAGGGCGCAAGCGUUGUCCGGAAUUACUGGGCGUAAAGCGCACGUAGGCGGGUUGUUAAGUCAGGGGUGAAAUCCUGGAGCUCAACUCCAGAACUGCCUUUGAUACUGGGGAUCUCGAGUCCGGAAGAGGUGAGUGGAACUCCGAAGUGUAGAGGUGAAAUUCGUAGAUAUUCGGAAGAACACCAGUGGCGAAGGCGGCU
rnacentral:rRNA from 1 species